CCAAGAUCAAGGUGUCGGCAGGACCAGGCUCUCCGAAGGCCCUGAGGGAGGGUCCUUCCUGCCUUGGCAGAAGAGAGUUUCGUUCGAGCCAAGCUGAGGGCUAGCCCGGAAGCACAGCCUUCACGGAGGAGGAAAGCGCCCGGAGAAGCAUAGUUUUCAGCGAAGUUUAAACUAUUUUGGAACAAAGAACAUACACCAAGCACGACACGGAAAAUGAGACAAUAAUCAUAAGCUGUGCUGUGGAAAUGGAGAUAACCUAUGAGAGGAACUGAGAACAGUGCCUGCACAUACACGUCGUUGUCAUCAUUUCCAACACUGUUGCUGUUAUCUG